rnacentral:tRNA from 1 species
GGACAGGUAACUCAGUUGGUAGAGUGCCAGACUGAAAAUCUGGUGGUCACUGGUUCGAAUCCGGUCUUGUCCG